CGGAGGUACUCGAGUGGCGAACGGGUGAGUAACACGUGGGUGAUCUGCCCUGCACUCUGGGAUAAGCCUGGGAAACUGGGUCUAAUACCGGAUAGGACCGCACUUUAGUGUGUGUGGUGGAAAGUUUUUUCGGUGUAGGAUGAGCCCGCGGCCUAUCAGCUUGUUGGUGGGGUAAUGGCCUACCAAGGCGGCGACGGGUAGCCGGACUGAGGGGUUGGCCGGCCACAUUGUGACUGAGAUACGGCCCAG
rnacentral:rRNA from 1 species